CUUUCCGCUGGGAAAGGAAUUCUUCAUUUCACUCUAGUCACUUCAGUAUGUCAAAUGAAAAGGUAUUUUCUUGCAGUUCCUCUCCCUAGCCCCUGGCGAGACAGAGGAGACAGUCUGCCUCUGAGAGUCAAGGCAAACAAAAGAGCAUUUCUCCAUGACAGCCUCUUAGCCCUCCCUUCCCGCAUCUCUCUUUAUCCCAAAUCUCUGCUCGCUUGAGCAUUUGAAGAGACACAACUGCCAAGGAAGUGAGAAAGGAGAAGCAAGAAAAUAAGCCCUAUUGCUAAAAUAUUGCAAUGAUUACAAAGAUGAAGAUGCUCUCUCCUCUUCUCUUUCUGAGCCUGGUACUUGGGACUAAUGCGACACCUUCAGUCCGGCUUUCCUGUUACAGGAAAAUAUUAAAAGAUCACAACUGUCACAACAUCCCAGCAGGAGUAGCCAGUCUCCGGCCAAUUGAUGGUCAUCUUCAAGAUCACUUUUGGGAAGGGAAAGGCUGCGAGAUGGUCUGUUACUGCAACUUUAAUGAACUACUCUGCUGUCCAAAGGAUAUCUUUUUUGGACCAAAGAUUUCAUUUGUGAUUCCUUGUAACAGCCCCUGAAGAAUACAUCAGAUUUGAGAAAGGAAGAUAAAUAUCAGACUCAGAUGCCGAAGACUGGAUCAAACUCUAUACUUUUUAUAUCAUGGAAUACUUCUUGUGAAAGAGAAGUUUCAUAUGGACAUUAUUUCUAUGCAACUGCCAUAGUUUUCUCUAACCAGGACUAACAGAUCAAUACUAACUAUGUUUAUGCCAAAGUAAAUACGCUUGGUGUUAUUGAUACAGCUAAAAUAAUUGUGCUUGUUAAUCACAACUAGCUUAUGGCACACUGAUUUCAAUGGAUGUAUUCACAAUGUAGUAUUUGACAUAACUUUUGCUGCUCGGCACUAUGGCUCGGCACUAUGGAAUCAUGUGCAACCUGUUUCAGUGGGGCACCAACACUCUUUGUAAAACUACAAUUUUCAUGAUUCCAUAACAUUUCGCCAUGGCAAUUAAAGUGGUGUCAAACUACAUUGACUCUACAGUGGAGAUGCGUUCAAUGUAUCAACACUGGUUUUAGCUAUAUAAUUGCUUUACUGAUGUUGCUUAGCCACCUGUAACCCACCACCAGAAUCCAUGUUUAACUGUUAAAGCAAGAUAUAAUUGUUAACACAAAAGCUUUAAUUCUUAGCCAAUAAACUGAAUUACUAUG